UUAGCGAACACGACAUGUGAAUCGUCUUUUUUUGAAUUUUGAAUUUUUUAGAGGGUGAGAACUAAAAAUCAUCGAUAAAACCUACAAGAAAAUAGAUUGUACACUUCAUAAUGGACAUUCUACUAUUUUGGCAGGUAUUUGUGGUGGUGGUGUCCUCGUCUCGUUUGGACGUCCGCAUUGCUUACGGAUG